rnacentral:lncRNA from 1 species
AUGGUUCGAAAUUUAACCCAGGAACAACCAGCAAACUUCAACAAUCAGAAUUGUCCAAACAAUCACUCGAAUGAACCCAAAUGUGUUUGUAAAUGCACCAGAUUAUUUCAUGGAAGCACCAAAACAUAGAAAUUGGUCCUAGAAUAAACCCAUCGAGACCAAAAUCAGUCAAAAACCCAAACAGUGAACCCUUGAGAGCAAAGGAAUCGAAACUGGACUGAAAAAUCAGCAAAUCAACA